ensembl:lncRNA
CAAUUUGCCAAAGCACUUUUUGCAUUCCUUCAGUGCGGUUGCUUGACUUGCCUUUUACUGCACUUCAGUCAUGUUUUCACAUUUGAAGAAUUCUCACUGAAAAUAGACCUCUUACUGAUAACAGAACCAGACAUAAAAGCUGUCAUAAUGAGGAGUAGCAGUAAACAUCAGAUUUGCAAUUUGUUUUUUAUGUAUUAACACGGUGGAGUAUUUAACUGAAGUGGAAUGAAUUACAGUAUUUAAUGAGGUUAAAGUGCAUAAUCUAAGUCACUUGCAUAUCUUCAACAGUAAUGGUAGUUAUCUGAUAAUGUGUAUUUUAUGGCUGAUCUUGCCACUUGCAGACAUAUAACCCUCCUAAAGGCAGUGGAUCUUUUUCUUUAAGUCUUGCAUGCUGUAAGAAAGGCUGCAAAUGAAAACAGAGAUGAAGGAUGGUUUACAAAGCCAUAAGAAGACAAAGCCUUAACUGGAAGAGGUGUACGUUCCUGGUUGUCCAAAGCCAAUGCUAUGUCAUUCUUUCACCCAUCGCCACUGCAGACAUUUAGGAGAUCAGUCAGGCUUGGAUUCAAUCUUUGUUUAAUAACACAGCCAUUAAUUAACCUAAAAUAAUGAAGCAGAACAAACUGUUCAAUUUAGAGCCAGGGUUUAAAAACUGCAAAACAGGAGACACGUUGCCAUGUGAUAAGUUCAACCAUCGGAUCCCCUGGAAUGGGGUGCUCUUCAGAUUGUCACUGCCCCUCAGGCAGCAAACGGGGCACAGAAGGACCAGACUAUGCAGAAAUGCACCCAGCUCUACUUGGUUAUGUACAGGAGGCAUUUGUCUGAAUGCCUUCAUUUACAGCAGCAGGCUUUCUGGCGUGACUUCUCCUCGUGCUGCCCAGAUCUAUACAGCACCAUGUCAUGUGCUGCAGCAGGAAGGUGGUGUGGAGGUGCUCAGCUGCAGGCCGCUCUCGAGCAAAGGAGCUCCAAUCCUUUGAGCACACUUAGCACAGACCUUCCUCCCCUUCCUUCCCCCUUUCAGCCAGACCUCGUUCCUCCCAGCUCAGAGUUCUCAUGUUCAAACUAAGGCCACUCGUGAAAGCAGCUGCACCUGCAGCACUGUGACACCUGAGCCUGACCACGGCAGGAUCCAGAAGCUCAUCUCAGAAGGGGCAAGCAGAAACAUUUCUUUUUCCCUCUCUCCCCCCAUAUCUCAUCACAGCCUGGUCCUUGGAGCCAGGGGUCAGCACAGGCACAGCACAAACGACUUCUGAAUGAGCAGCACCUGCCCUACUUGCUCCAUGCAGUCAGAUGUGCCUGUGUCGUACAGAAACUAGGCUAAAUGACAGGAGUGUCACUCCGGAAGCCUUUAUUUUGAUGUUGUUUUGUAUAUCCUGCAUUAAAACCUAGAGAGAGAGGAACCUAGAGAGUUCCAGAGAGGAAUAGGUCUACGUCUGAGGUCUGUUUGAGUAAGGACUAAGGCAGGAAUCUGAGAUUUGGACUGCCAUGAAAGGAAAAGAGUACCAGCACUGAGAAAAUUAUAGAAGCACAGGACAGCUGAGGCUGGCAGGGCCCUCUGGGUCCCUCUGCUCCAACCCCUGACCCAGCAGGGACACCCAGAGCAGGGUGCCCAGGGCCACGUCCAGGUGGCUCUGGGAGAUCCCCAAGGAGGCAGAUUCCAUAAAUAAGCAUUACUGCACUAACUGUGUUGGUGUCCAUGUGUUUUAUAUUUAUCUGGUAUUUGGGGCAGGUGAGUACCCCGGGUGUCACACGAAAUCUCCCCACCACCAGUCAGAUGCAAUCCCCAUGCAUCACUCACAACACCCUUGGGCAGAGACGUUCCCAGAUGUGGACAGGGACCACCUUCCCCAAAGCCACGUUUAGCAACCCCCAGGGGCACAGUAGUAUUAAAAAUACUAUUGCACACAAGAAUGUGGGAGAGCCCUGAGAGAGCAGAACUGUAACCAUGGGUGCAUUACUAACGCCUCACUCCUACACAGGCCAGAUCUUACUCAGCAAACACGGUAUUCACACAGGCAGCUCACUCAACAAAGCUGGAAAAAGCUCUUACAGCUACGAGAAGAACUCGUGUAAUUUCCAUGGCUGUGAAUCAGGACGUCUUCAUUCUUGUGGCAUGUUUUUCACUUUUAUGAACACUAAUUUCGCUGCAUUUUCGGAGCGGUGACUUUAGCCACAGCGUGGCUGCUGCGAAGUUCCCACGGCUACCAGUAGGACUUUUAUGUGGGAAAUCUGUGGGCAGCAGGGAGCCUCCCUGCUUGUAUCAAUAGGAACUUCCCAAGCGCCUCAGACUGACAUUUUCUCAGCCCGGGAUCGGAGCACACAUGCUCUCAUUUAGAGCUCCCUUCUCCGAAGCUGAAGGACAUGUGUGAUCAUUUUAGCUCCGGCAAUUUUCUAGCAGGCCUUUUGCACACAGAGGAAUCCUGCGCAAAUGGGUUUUUUCCUCUUCAGCCAGCAGAAACUCCAUCCUGCAAACUGCUGAGCAGGGCACCGAGGGGUGAACACAGGAGAUGCCAGCCAGGGCCACGUUGACCCCAGGCCCCCAUCAUGAUGAAGACCACGGAAGAAGCAUAUCAGAGUCCUACCAGUGUGGAUGCUGCAUUGCAGACCUCCCCUCACAAACUUUCUGAAUUUUGGGGUGCACAGAGCAUCCUUCCAGUGUGCCUCAACACCACAGAGACAUCAGUUUUCCAUCUUUCUAUGCGUCUGCUGGGGCUGUCAGGCCACCACCAGCAGUCAUCCUGUCCCACAAGAGUUUCCCAGCCUUUCGCAUCACAGCCAUGCAUUCCAGAGAUGACCAGACACAUAAAUACGUCUUCUGUGCUUGCACACUGGAAGACUUUCUGCAGCUGGAUAAUAAGAGCAUGUUAAAAGCAUAUAUAUUGUCUCCACCAGUCAAAAAAAAAAAGAAAAGAAAAGAAAAAAAAGGUUGAAUUUUUGUUCUCAGAAGACAGAAAUGCAGUGGGAGGGCAACGGGCAAGUUGUACAGCUUUGGAUUUAUUAAAGAUAAUAUAUUGCAGGGAAAAAUCAGCUGUGGUGGGACACUGUGUUUACUGGAUGUUUAGAGAAGACCACACAACCCACAAACACGACAGGACCACGCUCAAUGAUCGUAUCUCACUAUCGCUUCCUAUUUGCAGAACUGUAAUUGUGGGAAUUCUUAAGGUCCAUAAUCACUAAAAAUGGAUAUCUGAACUCAGAAACCAGGGAGGCAGAAGCCCUCAAGGAAUUGUUUUCCACUUCGGUAAAAACAAAAAGGCUGAAUUCUUUGUCAAUGAGAGAUGGCCCAGUUUUGCAGCUUUAGGUUUGGUAGAAGAAACACCUGGCUGCCUAUCAGUAACAGGGCAGAGUCUGAUGAGAACAGAGGACAGAGAUUGUCACUCAUUUAUCAUGUGUAAGGAUUUCAUUGAUGCACGUCAUUCCAGUGCAAACUGGUAAUAACUGCUCAGGGUUGCCCAGAGGAGCUGUGAAUGCCGCAGUCCUGGAGGUGUGAGGUCACCUGGAGGCCAGGUGAGACGGGGCUUUGGGCAUCUGGUCUGGUGGGAGGUAUCCCUGCUACAUGUAGCUCACAGGGUUUGAAAAGGAAAAGAAAUGGGAAUAUGUUUGGUGUUGUUGCAGCCAGAAUAGGCAAGGUGUAAGUGUGGUGAGAUCUGUGCCAGAAGCUGGUAUCUCCCUCCAACAAGAUAUACUGGGGGGAAAAGAAGUAGUAAUAACCUUUCUCCAGCUCCAAACUAUCAUCUCUCCAUAUCCUGAUGGCAUUUGAUAAGCUUUCAGCGUAAAUCAGAAAGAAAAAUAUGUAGACAUUGCUGCUAUGGCAAAAAUUCUGCUAUUCACCAGCGGCUGGUGCAAGAAGACCAAAAUGUUUUCUCUGAUGUUGUCAAGCGGCCCAGUUCUGUAAAGUGGUUUCAGUGUCUGUGUGUCCACAUCUAUGCCUUUCCCCUUUAGAAAGCUGCUAAACACCUUGUCCAGGCAAGCUAAAUGCAAAAGAGGUCUCAAAGUGAUUCUUUUCUAAAAUCUGUGUGAAAAUAAUCAACAGAACAGGAGAAAAUAAAUACAUGAUGUCUACAGGCACCCCAAUUGACAGCAGGGCUGUGGUGUGAACCAAUGUCAUUAUGUUACCAAGAUCACUGCAGGGGGAAGGAGCCAUAAUGUUUCAACACAGAGAAUGGCAUCAACAACAGCUUGUGCUCACCCAUUAUACAAACCCAUGGCACUCCAGUAGUCGUGAUGUUUGAGCAAUCCCUUAUUGUCAUGAAGAGCACGUUCACAGAAUCACUGAAUCAUUAUGGUUGGAAAAGACCACUGCCUGGUCCAACCAUCAACCCAUCACCACCAUGGCCACUAAGCCAUGUCACUCGUGUCCAGAGUAUGGAGCUGGAGAUGGGGUUUUGCUGGUGAGAGGAGCUAAAAAAUGAGAAAUGUGCCAAAGAAAAUGAGGAAGCAGCAAAAAUGAGAUAAAAGAUGGAAGAGAGCAGAAGGUCAACAGGUUGGUCUCUGCAAAACUUGUAAAGGCUUCUUGGUGUCGAGUCAUGUGAAGGGAAAGUGGGUGGCUCUUGAGACACAGUAAAAAUGAGAAUUAACUCACCUACUAAAUUCUCAGUCAUCUUCCUCUUACAACCACUGCCAGGAAGUCUGAUUAAUCAGUCUAAGCUUAAAUAGAACAAAAAAAGAGAAAAUACUAUGCAGUGUGACUGGUCCAUGAGGAAACCAUGAAUUUGCUCUUUUAGUAAUUAAAAGUGACCCAGCAGGUUUUCCAGAGCAAUCAUCUCUCAUUCGGAGAAUAAAAUGUUCUCC